AAAAGAUAGCCUUGUGAGCUCUCCGUCGGCUGAAUAUCUACCUCGGUUAACUGCUCCUUGGCUUGUUCGAUGCAAGAUUUCAAGUGUUUCUUCUCAGAAGUAUCAGAGACAAGUCUCUCAGCUUCCUCGAAAAGGCUCAGUCCCGCAACCCAAAAGCCAGUAGCUGUGUAUCUCGUCUUGAGAACCGUCGCCACACGAGACACAACUGUAUAGAACUGCAUAAAAAUAGCGUCAGAGAGGUAAACUACACAAACAUUCAUAUCAUUCGGUUAUAACAUAGAAACUCAACAAAACCAGUGUCCGUUUAAACUCAUGUCCAAAGAUCCUUGACAUGAAGAUGGAACCUUCAACACAAUUGGUAAUGGAAACAAAGAAAUAAAGAUGCUUGAUUCCUAAUUUAAUCCCCGAAGCAAAACUCAACCAUCGAACAUAUAUACAAGACAGCAUCAAUGUUAAUGUAUAUCUUGUCUUAAAACGAAACAAUGUUAUCGUGUCAGAAAGGUAACAACUUGACCAAACA